CUGGUAGUCCUAGAGAAUAAACUCCUCAUUUUAUCCAUAGAAUUUGUAUAACAUGGGCAGCAACAGUGCAAACUUCCCCACAUUGACCAAUGCCUUACCCCAUACCAGGCAGGACUACCUCCAGAAUGAAAAGUAGUGUAGUUUCCAUGCCUAUUCAAUCCUACUCCUAG
ensembl:misc_RNA